rnacentral:RNase_P_RNA from 3 species
AAGCUGCGCGGCGGCGGUCGCUGCUCCGACAGGUCGGAGCAGAGGAAAGUCCGAACAUCACAGGGCUGGGCGCCGGACAAGGUUUUGUCGGCAACGAUGAAACACAAGUUCGGGCGGGCGAAAGCAAUUUCGCUCGACAGAUAGCGCAACAGAAAGCAAACCGUCUCGACGCAAGUUGGGAUAAGGGUGAAACGGCGGUGUAAGAGACCACCAGUUAACGCAGUAAUGCGUUAAGCUCGGCAAGCCUCCCCGAUGCAAGACUAUGUAGGAAAACUUUUUCCGCGAGGAAAAAAGAGUUGCCCGCUCAAUUCAUGCGCUUUCGGGCGCGGGAGAGUUUUCGGGUGAGUCGCAUAGAUAAAUGACUGCCUCUCGUUCAAGCACUUGAGCGGGAAACAGAAUUCGGCUUACAAGCGCGGCUUCAUU